CCUACGGGAGGCAGCAGUGGGGAAUAUUGCACAAUGGGGGAAACCCUGAUGCAGCGACGCCGCGUGAGCGAUGAAGUAUUUCGGUAUGUAAAGCUCUAUCAGCAGGGAAGAAGAUGACGGUACCUGACACAGAAGCAACGGCUAACUACGUGCCAGCAGCCGCGGUAAUACGUAGGGGGGAAGCGUUAUCCGGAUUUACUGGGUGUAAAGGGAGCGUAGGCGGCGAUGCAAGCCAGAUGGUAAGGGCCGGGGUUCAACCCCGGGACUGCAUUUGGAACUGUGUGGCUGGAGUGUCGGAGAGGCAGGCGGAAUUCCUAGUGUAGCGGUGAAAUGCGUAGAUAUUAGGAGGAACACCAGUGGCGAAGGCGGCCUGCUGGACGAUGACUGACGUUGAGGCUCGAAAGCGUGGGGAGCAAACAGGAUUAGAUACCCGGGUAGUC
rnacentral:rRNA from 1 species